AUUGAACGCUGGCGGCAGGCCUAACACAUGCAAGUCGAGCGGCAGCGGGAAGUAGCUUGCUACUUUGCCGGCGAGCGGCGGACGGGUGAGUAAUGUCUGGGAAACUGCCUGAUGGAGGGGGAUAACUACUGGAAACGGUAGCUAAUACCGCAUAACGUCGCAAGACCAAAGAGGGGGACCUUCGGGCCUCUUGCCAUCAGAUGUGCCCAGAUGGGAUUAGCUAGUAGGUGGGGUAACGGCUCACCUAGGCGACGAUCCCUAGCUGGUCUGAGAGGAUGACCAGCCACACUGGAACUGAGACACGGUCCAGACUCCUACGGGAGGCAGCAGUGGGGAAUAUUGCACAAUGGGCGCAAGCCUGAUGCAGCCAUGCCGCGUGUAUGAAGAAGGCCUUCGGGCUGUAAAGUACUUUCAGCGGGGAGGAAGGCGUUGUGGUUAAUAACCACAGCGAUUGACGUUACCCGCAGAAGAAGCACCGGCUAACUCCGUGCCAGCCGCCGCAGUAACAC
rnacentral:rRNA from 1 species